UACGGAGGGUGCAAGCGUUAUCCGGAGUUACUGGGCGUAAAGGGCGUGUAGGUGGUUUCGUAAGUCUGGCGUGAAAUUUUUCGGCUUAACCGGGAAAGGUCGUCGGAUACUGCGGAACUAGAGGACGGUAGAGGCGUGUGGAAUUCCGGGUGUAGUGGUGAAAUGCGUAGAGAUCCGGAGGAACACCAGUGGCGAAGGCGACACGCUGGGCCGUACCUGACACUGAUGCGCGACAGCAUGGGGAGCAAACAGG
rnacentral:rRNA from 1 species